UUAUAUCAUUUUCUUUUUACGCCAUGUCAAGACAGACAGAUUUUAGUCAUUUUCACAUGCUCUAUAUCGAAGGAAUCUAUCACUGAUCAGCUAUGCUUUUUUGUUUUUGACCUAAUGUCAUUAUAUAGCAACAAUCCUUCUUGUAUACCUUACCUUAAACAUUUUGUGUUUUGCCUCUAUUGUAAUAUUAUUUUUUUUUGCAUACAUUUUUUAUGUUUUUAUUUAUUUAUUUUUUUUAACAGAUCGCCACAUUUUCUUUAGGGGAAGUUGACAUUAAUCUUUUAGGUUAAUAAUAACCUAUGCAUGCAGUACAGAUGCUGUUCAUCAUCUUUUCAUAAGCAAGCCUGCUCAAGAAGCUGCUGCAUGGAAGUCAAAAUAUGAAUUAUUGCCACCAGUCUUGAAGUCAGCUUGUAAAGAAUGCUAAGAAUUGAAUGAAAAUGCUGUCUUGAUAUCUUGUUUGUGCUGUUAUAUUUGUCUUUUGUGUUGGUUAAUUAUUCCAUGAAUAAAAAAUAAAAAAAAGUUAA